rnacentral:rRNA from 1 species
UAAAAGUAUCGAUGACAAUAUAGUAUAACAUCAAAAAAAAAUAAAAAAGUAAUUCAAAGGGGUUAUUAAGGAUAGCACAAGCAAAUUUAUAAAAAAGGAGGUGUCAACCAAAUGCUUUCAUAAUAUUAAAUUAUUUAUCGUGAAAGCGAUCCUAAGGGAAACCUUUUAAUUAAUACUUCCUGAAGUAAAACAUUUUAGUAAGGAAAGGAAAGGAAAUCAACCGAGACUCCGAAAGUAAUGGUGAGUGAAAUCGGAUUAGCCUAAGAUUAUCUUUUAUAAAUUGAAUAAAUUAACUCUUUUUUAUAAUAUUCUUAAUUAAAUUUAUACCAAUAAACUUAAAUAAGUAAUAUGAAAUCAAGAACUUAAUUUACAAAUAAUUUUAUUUCAAAUAAAAAAAAUUUGUUCAAAGAAGGUUAAAAACAAUAAGUCCUGUAGAUUUAUAAAAAAAUAAUAUAAUAAGUACGAUGAGAGUUAACUUGUCGGAAUAUAGGGGAACCAUCCUCUAAGGCUAAGUAUUAUAAAUUUAGCGAUAGUGAAAAAGUACUGUAAAGGAAAAGUUUGAAAAGCAAUGGUUUAAAGAAACAUAAGAGUAAUUAUUAAAAUUUAAAUAAUAUCUAAAAAAUAUUAUACUUUAAUAAAUGCCGGUGAAAUAGAUCUUGAAUUAGUAACUCUAUAAGCAGUCGAAAUUUAAAACAAAAAAUGACGGCGUACCUUUUGCAUAAUGGGUCAGCAAGUUAAUAGGAGUAGCAAGGUUAAAAGCCCUAGCGAAAGCGACUGGACUAUAAUUAUAAAAAGUGUCAAGUUUUUCAUAAUAAAAUAUAGUGAUGGAUAAGUUACUUCUAUUAGACCCGAAGCCAGGUGAUCUUACUAAGACCAGAUUAUAAUGGAUCGAACGGGUGAAUGUUGCAUAAUUCUCCGAUGAGUUUUAGUAAGCGGUGAAAUGCCAAUCUGACCUGGUGCUAUCUGGUUUUCUACCGAAACAUAUUUAAGUAUGACAUCUACACAAAAUUUAUGGAGGUACAGCAAGGCAAUUCCCAACAAGUAUAAGAGUCAUUAUUUACAAAUAAUUUCGUCUUAUAGGCGUUUAGGUUGUGGGGACCUCGAAAAUCUUACCUAUGGAAGCGAAUCUCGGAAGUACAUAAAUUGAUGGUAGAUAUUCAGACUAUCCAUGCUAAGUUGGAUAGUCAAGACGGAAACAGCCGAGAACAUUGAUCAAGGUCCCAAAUGAUUAUUAAGUGAAAUUAAGGAUGUUUAAAAUCGGAUACAGCUGUGAAGUGAGCUUGGAAGUAGCUUCUUAUAAUGAUCGUAUGUAACAACGCAUCAGCAGUCUAGAUUGUAGCGCCGAAAAUUUAACGGGUCUAAAAUAAUCAACCGAUAUCGUGUUGGUUUUAAAUAAUAAUAAAAAUAAAAAAUAAAAAUAAAUAAAUAAAUAAAUAAAAUAAAAAGUUUUUCUUUUUUAAAAUUCUUAUUUUAAACCUAGGUAGUAGAACAUUCAGUCAAACUAUUUAUAAAACAGUGUUUCAUUGUUUUUAGGUAACUGAAGAGAGAAUGCUGACAUGAGUAACGUAAAAAGAAGUUAUAAUACUUCUCGCCGAAUACGAAAGGGUUGUAAGUGAAAGGUUAAUCCGCCUUACGUGAAUGCGGCCUCUAAGGACUAGAACGAAAGUUUUGGCUGAUGAGUAUAUAAUAGAAAAUCCAUUUUUUGGAUCAGGAAAUUAAUAUGAGAUAAAAUUUUAUUUUUAUCUGUAAGAACUUAAUUUUAUUUUUAAUAGGUGUAAAUUUUACAAAUUUUAUAGUAACCUUUAUUCUUUUUAUUUUUUAAAUAAGAAAAUAGAAAAAUCAAAUUAAGACUACCGUACCCUAAACCGACACAGGUUCGUAGGUAGAGAAUACUAAGGCGUAGAGCUAAAAGUUGUUAAGGAACUCGGCAAAUUAACCUGCAUUGUGUUCUUGGAAAACACAUAAGUGGGUCAAACCAUCAAACUCCGGGGACACCCUAAAGGUCCUGAUACCAAGCUAUAGUCGAAAGGUUAUAAGUGGCCAGAAUAAUUACCUGGGUAUGGUAACAAGUCAGGAUAUGAUUGAAAAUGAAAUGGGUUAUCGCGGAUCUAAAUCAGAAAAUAAAGUUUCUGUAAAAGAGCAACGAGUAGACGGUGGUUAUUGCAUAAAGCCAAUGCAAUUAAGGUGUACUCUAAUGGGUUUCGAAAGAAACUAUCAAAUCAAAAUCCAUUCUAAACAAUUAAAUAAAAAAUAUUUUUCUACUUUAACCAAUCUAAAUAAUAAAUUAAACCCAUGGUUUAUUACUGGUUUUACCGAUGCUGAAGGGUGUUUCUCCUUUGCAAUUAAACCCGACGCCAAAUCCACAUUAAAAUGGAGGAGUUCUCCUCUUUUUUUAAUCAAAUUGCACAUUAAAGAUAUUGCAAUAUUAGAACUAAUUAAACACACUUUAAUGGUAGGGAAAAUAAGAACAAAUGGAACAAAUUCAGUUCAAUACAUAGUGGAAUCAAUUAAAGAAUUACAAGUAAUUGUAGAUCAUUUUAAUAAAUACUCUCUUGUAACUCAAAAAGCUUCUGAUUUUUUAAUUUUUAAACAAUGUUUUGAAAUCAUUAAACAGAGAGAACAUUUAACGGAAAAAGGUUUUUUUAAAUUAAUCGGUUUAAAAAGCUCUCUUAAUUGAGGUCUUUCUGAAAAAUUACAACAAACUUUUCCACACGUAAGCCUUGUAGAAAGACCAAAAUAUCAAUUUAAUGGUAUUCCUAAUCCUUAUUGGAUAGCAGGUUUUACAAGUGGGGACGGUUCUUUCCAUUUAAAUCUUAAAAACACAGAAGGUACUGUAAGUCACCCCAGCCGAAGGUGAGGAGUAGUCUCAUUAAGGUUUUCAAUUAAUCUUAAUAUUAGAGAUGUUGAAGUUCUUAAAGGUUUGAUAAUUUACUUUCAUACUUUAAACAAAACAAGUACUGUAGUGAAAGGAAUGCUUAACCAGAAUAAUAAAUAUGUCUCUAUAUCUGAUAACACUGUAAGUCUUGCAAUAACAAAAAUUUCUGAGUUAAUUGAAGUAAUUAUUCCUUUUUUUGAAAAGUACCCUAUACAAGGUGUUAAAAGUUUAGAUUUUGCAGAAUUUAAAAAGGUUGCUAUGAUGAUAGUUGCUAAAGAACAUUUAACUAUCAAAGGCUUAAAUAGAAUUUUAGAAAUAAAAUUAAACAUGACUAAGCAUAGAAAGUGGUAAUAUUUUAUAUUUUAAUUGCAUGAUAAAUUUGACUAGCCAUGCAUAAGUUUGACGACAAGAGGUACCGCAUAUUAUUAAUAAUAAUUAUUAAAUAGUAAAAUAUCUAAUAUUUUUUCUUUUUAUAAGGCGGUGACACAUAAUCGGAGGCCCCGACUGUUUACUAAAAACACAGAUCACAGCAAUCAUGUAAAUGAUAGUAUUGUGGUCGAAAUUUGCCCGAUGCCAUUAAUAUAAGAGAGGUUAUAGUUUCUGUGACUAAUCGAAAGUCUGGUUAAUAGCGGUCUUAACUAUGAGGAUCCUAAGGUAGCAAAAUAAAUUGGCCAUUAAAUGUGGUCCGGUAUCAAUAAUGUAACGAGGGCCUCACUGUCUCUACAACUUGCUCAGUGAAAUUGAAUUACCCGUGCAGAUGCGGGUUACCUCCAGGGGGACGGGAAGACCCUAUGCAGCUUUACUGUAGUUAGUUAUCAUAUUAAUCUACAACAACCUUUGUUACUAGAGAAUAGGUAAGUCGAUAGACUAUUUGUGGAAACCUUAAAACUUAGGUUGGGUUAAUGUUUACCUUUAUAUAAAAUAAAAACUUAAAAGGGAGAGGUUACUAAUUGGCAGUUUGACUGGGGCGGUCGUCUUUAAUAAAGUAGCAAAGUACAUCCAAAUAUUUAAAUUAUUAUAAUGUUUAAGUUUAAAUUUAGUUUCUGAAUUUAAAUUAUUUUACAUUUCAAACAAAUAAAAUAUAAAAUAAUAUUAUAUUUUUUAUAUUAAUAUCUUUCAUAUACUUUUGUAUAUAGUAAAGAAAUACACAAAAAAUUAAAAAAGGUAUAGCUAGAAAUUGAAUGGAGAUCAAUCAACCAGUGAAAGGUUGUGCAGGGCUCAAUGGCGGUAAGCAUGCUUAACUGAAAGACCUAAAAGUCGCACAGAUACGUAAGUAGGGCAUAGUGACCCCUCGCUAUAAUAUGGGAUAGACGGGGAUCAAUUGAUAAAAGUUACGCUAGGGAUAACAGGCUGAUAGCCGACGAGAGUACACAUUGUCUCGGCUGAUUGGCACCUUAUGAACAAAAUAAAUAAAUAUAUUAACGCACACAAGAUUACUCUUAAAUUUAAAAUUAAAAGUGAUAUAGGUAAUAUAGAUAUUUAUGACAUUGGGGAAUUUUAAUAGAAAUAUUAACUUAGAAUUUGGCUAUUUGCUGGAACACCCUUAGAGCUAUCAAUACUUAUUUUUUUAGUAAUAAAAUUAUUUCAUUUUUUUAAUGAUUUAAUAAGUGAAAAUUUGAUAGAUUGGGCAAUCAGCAGGGAAGUGAUUAAAUUUAGAUGUAAGUAAUUGUAAAAUUUCUCACCCCUCAACGAUCACACGCCAACAACCAGAGCUUUUCCAAUUUACUCUUGGAACUGGUUGAAGAUAUGAUCUAAACUUAACUGAAAGGUUAAGAGUAUUAGUCUAAUUAGUAUAAUUUUUAUAAUUUACUUUAUUUACUAAUAUAUAAUGCGAUGUCGACUCAUCCUAUCCUCCGGGGGAAGAAGCUUGGAAGGGUUCGGCUGUUCGCCGAUUAAAAGGGUACGCGAGUUGGGUUUAAUACGACGUGAGUCAGUAUGGUCCCUAUCUUCUGGAGGAAGAAAUAGUAAAAAGGGGCAGACCUUCUAGUACGAAAGGAUCAAUAGGCUGUGUUUCUCUAGUGUACCAAUUGUUUGUACUAACUUUUUUGUUAGGGACCUGUUUUAAAUGUAAUAGGAAAAGUCCUUUUAUAAUUUAUAUUAAGCAAAUAAAUUAUACUUUCUUUUUAAAUAUACUGUUUUUAAAUCUUUAAGUGCGAAACAGUUAAAAGAGUUGAAUAAAAAGGCUACAAGAAAUUAGGAAUGCAUAGUUGGGUAGCCACAAACAUAAUAGAUAAGUGCUGAAUGUCUAUCAAGCAAGAAUCUAACCCCUAGAUACUAAAACGAUUUUUAUUUUAAUAUAUUUUAUAUAUCAAAAUUUAAAGUCGUAAAUUAAGAAAUAGAACAUUUCUAGAUAGGCUGCAAAUGUAAAUAUUGUAAAAUAAAUAGUUUAGCAGUACUAAUUUAUAAAAAUACUA